rnacentral:rRNA from 1 species
UACAGAGGUCUCAAGCGUUGUUCGGAAUCGCUGGGCGUAAAGGGUGCGUAGGCCGCACGGUAAGUCAGAGGUGAAAUCCCGGAGCUCAACUUCGGAAUUGCCUCCGAUACUGCCGUGCUUGAGGACUGGAGAGGAGAUUGGAAUUCACAGUGGAGCAGUGAAAUGCGUAGAUAUUGUGAGGAACACUAGUGGCGAAGGCGAAUCUCUGGACAGUUCCUGACGCUGAGGCACGAAGGCCAGGGGAGCAAACGGG